UACGGGGGGAGCAAGCGUUGUUCGGAUUUACUGGGCGUAAAGGGCGCGUAGGCGGUCAGCACAAGUCAGUUGUGAAAUCUCCGGGCUUAACUCGGAAAGGUCAACUGAUACUGUGCGACUAGAGUGCAGAAGGGGCAACUGGAAUUCUCGGUGUAGCGGUGAAAUGCGUAGAUAUCGAGAGGAACACCUGCGGCGAAGGCGGGUUGCUGGGCCGAUACUGACGCUGAGGAGCGAAAGCAUGGGGAGCGAACAGG
rnacentral:rRNA from 1 species